GAUGAACGCUGGCGGCGUGCCUAAUACAUGCAAGUCGAGCGCAGCGGGGACGGGUGAGUAACACGUGGAUAACCUCCUAUAAGACUGGGAUAACUUCGGGUAACCGGAGCUAAACCGGAUACUUAUAGUUGGAUCCGCUCUGCAUUAGCUAGUUGGUAAGGUAACGGCUUACCAAGGCAACGAUGAAUAGCCUACCUGAGAGGGUGAACGGCAACACUGGAACGGAGAAACGGUACAGAGUGCAACGGGAGGCAGCAGUAGGGAAUCUAGGGCAAUGGGCGAAAGCCGGACGGAGCAACGCCGCGUGAGUGAUGAAGGUAUUCGGAGGGAAAAACUCUGUUAGUAGGGAGGCGGUACCAAAACAGAAAGCCACGGCUAACUACGUGCCAGCAGCCGCGGUAAUAC
rnacentral:rRNA from 1 species